rnacentral:rRNA from 1 species
GAACGCUAGCUACAGGCUUAACACAUGCAAGUCGAGGGGCAUCAGGAAGAAAGCUUGCUUUCUUUGCUGGCGACCGGCGCACGGGUGAGUAACACGUAUCCAACCUGCCCUUUACUCGGGGAUAGCCUUUCGAAAGAAAGAUUAAUACCCGAUAGCAUAAUGAUUCCGCAUGGUUUCAUUAUUAAAGGAUUCCGGUAAAGGAUGGGGAUGCGUUCCAUUAGGUUGUUGGUGAGGUAACGGCCCACCAAGCCUUCGAUGGAUAGGGGUUCUGAGAGGAAGGUCCCCCACAUUGGAACUGAGACACGGUCCAAACUCCUACGGGAGGCAGCAGUGAGGAAUAUUGGUCAAUGGGCGCUAGCCUGAACCAGCCAAGUAGCGUGAAGGAUGAAGGCUCUAUGGGUCGUAAACUUCUUUUAUAUAAGAAUAAAGUGCAGUAUGUAUACUGUUUUGUAUGUAUUAUAUGAAUAAGGAUCGGCUAACUCCGUGCCAGCAGCCGCGGUAAUACGGAGGAUCCGAGCGUUAUCCGGAUUUAUUGGGUUUAAAGGGAGCGUAGGUGGACUGGUAAGUCAGUUGUGAAAGUUUGCGGCUCAACCGUAAAAUUGCAGUUGAUACUGUCAGUCUUGAGUACAGUAGAGGUGGGCGGAAUUCGUGGUGUAGCGGUGAAAUGCUUAGAUAUCACGAAGAACUCCGAUUGCGAAGGCAGCUCACUGGACUGCAACUGACACUGAUGCUCGAAAGUGUGGGUAUCAAACAGGAUUAGAUACCCUGGUAGUCCACACAGUAAACGAUGAAUACUCGCUGUUUGCGAUAUACAGUAAGCGGCCAAGCGAAAGCAUUAAGUAUUCCACCUGGGGAGUACGCCGGCAACGGUGAAACUCAAAGGAAUUGACGGGGGCCCGCACAAGCGGAGGAACAUGUGGUUUAAUUCGAUGAUACGCGAGGAACCUUACCCGGGCUUAAAUUGCAGUGGAAUGAUGUGGAAACAUGUCAGUGAGCAAUCACCGCUGUGAAGGUGCUGCAUGGUUGUCGUCAGCUCGUGCCGUGAGGUGUCGGCUUAAGUGCCAUAACGAGUGCAACCCUUAUCUUUAGUUACUAACAGGUUAUGCUGAGGACUCUAGAGAGACUGCCGUCGUAAGAUGUGAGGAAGGUGGGGAUGACGUCAAAUCAGCACGGCCCUUACGUCCGGGGCUACACACGUGUUACAAUGGGGGGUACAGAAGGCAGCUAGCGGGUGACCGUAUGCUAAUCCCAAAAUCCUCUCUCAGUUCGGAUCGAAGUCUGCAACCCGACUUCGUGAAGCUGGAUUCGCUAGUAAUCGCGCAUCAGCCACGGCGCGGUGAAUACGUUCCCGGGCCUUGUACACACCGCCCGUCAAGCCAUGGGAGCCGGGGGUACCUGAAGUACGUAACCGCAAGGAUCGUCCUAGGGUAAAACUGG